GCUAUCAACUAUUGUCAGCCGGCGGAGCUUCGUCUUCCUCCCCGGGGAUUUCCGAAAGGGGGACCAUCUUCCCCUUAUGAACAUCCAUCCCUAAGUCCCAAUCCACAGAAGUCGGGUCAAAGUUGAAAAAAUAGGCGGCCUGGCGGAUGGCUUUGAAAAAGCCUUCUUCAUGUUCCAGUUGGAUAUCCUGGUUUAGACGCGUGAUAGUAUCCGCCACUUGUUGUUGUUCCCCUUGCAGGCGGAUGUUCUCAGCAUGAAGUUCAACCAGUUCUUCAUCCCGG
rnacentral:lncRNA from 1 species